rnacentral:rRNA from 1 species
AACGAACGCUGGCGGCGUGCUUAACACAUGCAAGUCGAGGGCAUCAGGAGGAGCAAUCUUUCUGGUGACCGGCGAACGGGUGCGUAACACGUGAGCGACCUACCCUGGUGUGGGGGAUAGCCGGCCCAACGGCCGGGUAAGACCGCAUACGCUUGUUGGAGUACCUGCUCUGGCAAGGAAAACCUGGGCAACCCAGGUGCACCGGGAGGGCUCGCGGCCUAUCAGCUUGUUGGCGGGUAAGUGGCCCACCAAGGCGAUGACGGGUAGCUGGUCUGAGAGGAUGGCCAGCCACAUUGGGACUGCGAGACGGCCCAG